rnacentral:rRNA from 1 species
AUUGAACGCUGGCGGCAGGCCUAACACAUGCAAGUCGAGCGGAUGAAGGGAGCUUGCUCCUGGAUUCAGCGGCGGACGGGUGAGUAAUGCCUAGGAAUCUGCCUGGUAGUGGGGGAUAACGUCCGGAAACGGGCGCUAAUACCGCAUACGUCCUGAGGGAGAAAGUGGGGGAUCUUCGGACCUCACGCUAUCAGAUGAGCCUAGGUCGGAUUAGCUAGUUGGUGGGGUAAAGGCCUACCAAGGCGACGAUCCGUAACUGGUCUGAGAGGAUGAUCAGUCACACUGGAACUGAGGCACGGUCCAGACUCCUACGGGAGGCAGCAGUGGGGAAUAUUGGACAAUGGGCGGAAGCCUGAUCCAGCCAUGCCGCGUGUGUGAAGAAGGUCUUCGGAUUGUAAAGCACUUUAAGUGGGGAGGAAGGGCAGUAAGUUAAUACCUUGCUGUUUUGACGUUACCAACAGAAUAAGCACCGGCUAACUUCGUG